rnacentral:rRNA from 1 species
UACGUAGGUGGCAAGCGUUGUCCGGAUUUAUUGGGUUUAAAGGGUGCGUAGGCGGUCUUAUAAGUCAGUGCUGAAAUAUCCCGGCUUAACCGGGAGGGUGGCAUUGAUACUGCAGAGCUUGAGUGAAGUCGAGGUAGGCGGAAUUGACGGUGUAGCGGUGAAAUGCUUAGAUAUCGUCAAGAACACCGAUAGUGAAGACAGCUUACUAGACUUCAACUGACGCUGAGGCACGAAAGUGUGGGGAUCAAACAGG